rnacentral:rRNA from 1 species
GUGUCAGCAGCCGCGGUAAUACGGAGGGUGCGAGCGUUGUCCGGAAUCACUGGGCGUAAAGGGCGCGUAGGCGGUUCGUUAAGUUGCUGGUGAAAUCCCGGGGCUCAACUCCGGGGCUGCCGGCAAGACUGGCGGGCUAGAGCACGGUAGAGGCGGAUGGAAUUCCCGGUGUAGCGGUGGAAUGCGUAGAUAUCGGGAAGAAUACCGGUGGCGAAGGCGUUCCGCUGGGCCGUUGCUGACGCUGAGGCGCGACAGCGUGGGGAGCAAACAGGAUUAGAUACCCUGGUAGUCC